GAUGAACGCUAGCGAUAGGCUUAACACAUGCAAGUCGAGGGGCAGCACUUCGGGUGGCGACCGGCGCACGGGUGAGUAACGCGUAUGCAACCUACCUUCUACAGGGGGAUAACCUCUCGAAAGAGAGACUAAUACCGCAUAAAACAGGGGCACCGCAUGGUGAUAUUUGUUAAAGAUUUAUUGGUAGAAGAUGGGCAUGCGUAACAUUAGCUUGUUGGUGAGGUAACGGCUCACCAAGGCAACGAUGUUUAGGGGUUCUGAGAGGAAGGUCCCCCCACACUGGUACUGAGACACGGACCAGACUCCUACGGGUGGCAG
rnacentral:rRNA from 1 species